rnacentral:rRNA from 1 species
AGAGUUUGAUCCUGGCUCAGAAUGAACGUUGGCGGUGUGGAUUAGGCAUGCAAGUCGAGCGAGAAGCUUCCUGCUUGCAGGAAGUGGACAGCGGCGUAAGGGAGAGUAACGCGUAGUUACCUACCCCAGGGUCCGGGAUAGCGGCGGGAAACUGCCGGUAAUACUGGAUGAUAUCUCCGGAUCAAAGGUGUGAUUCCGCCCUGGGAGGGGACUGCGUCCUAUUAGCUUGUUGGUGGGGUAAUGGCCUACCAAGGCAUUGAUGGGUACCGGGUGUGAGAGCAUGGCCCGGCUCACUGGGACUGAGACACUGCCCAGACACCUACGGGUGGCUGCAGUCGAGAAUCUUCGGCAAUGCGCGAAAGCGUGACCGAGCGACACCGCGUGCGGGAUGAAGGCUUUCGGGUUGUAAACCGCUGUCAGAGGGGAGGAAAUCUAUGGGGGUUAUCCCCCAUAGUUGACCUAUCCUCAGAGGAAGGACGGGCUAAGUUCGUGCCAGCAGCCGCGGUAACACGAACCGUCCAAACGUUAUUCGGAAUUAUUGGGCUUAAAGGGUGCGUAGGCGGUGUAGUAAGUUGGGUGUGAAAUCCCUCGGCUCAACCGAGGAACUGCGCCCAAUACUGCUACACUCGAGGGAGACAGAGGUAAGCGGAACUGAUGGUGGAGCGGUGAAAUGCGUUGAUAUCAUCAGGAACACCAGUG